CUAUAGACAGCGAGAUCAGCCGCAAAAUUUUUUAAGGGUUUAGUGUUUUUCCACGACGAAUCGAAGAGUCAUUUUCUUCUUUGAUCUCUUGAGUGUCUAUAUUCCUCUAAAAUGGCUAAUUCAUCAUCGAAGGUGACGAUUGGAAACGUUACGUUUCCAGAAUUUUCUAUCGGUGAGUUUGUAUGGCGGAGUCUCCAAAAGGAGACGUUGUUUACAGAAUGUCUAAUUUCGAUUUUGGUUUUGACAAGCCGGAUCAGUGUUUGUUCUUGAAGCCCUAAACAGAAGAAGCUGCUUCCACGGCUCUUCACUUCCAUAAGCUUCCCACUUUGAUCUAUCUGGCACACGACCAAUAGAUAUCCCACAUGGAUCCUUAGCAGCCUCCCUUAACCAUGUCAACGUCUCCAAAGGACACUCCCGUUUUCUCUUCCCAGGCGAAAAAGAGCAAUCAAGGCUCAUAACAUCCCAGUGAUAACAAUGAUUUCGAUUUUGGUUUCUGGGAAAUGAUUUCAAUUUUGGUUUUGUUUGUUAACUUAGCUUACAUUUGUUCAUGUAUAGAUUAUCAUUUUUUAUUCCAGAGUUUUUGUGUAUCGAUGAAGAUUUAGAUUUGUUUGUUGAUCUCUUUGAUUGUUCCUUUUGAUUUCAUCAGUUUCGUCACCGGCUUGAUCGGAAAUCAAGUAAGCAAAUCAUGAACAGGGAGAGAUGGGUUUGGGUUUGAUCUUGGACUCGGCGAAGGAUGAUGAACCAGAUCCAUAUACUCGCGGAUAUGUCUCUUUGUUAUGUAGCUAAGUGCUGGUCUUCUCAUCAUCAGAUGUUGUGGUCACUUCUUGGAAGUAAAGGGAAUGCUCAUGAUUCAGUGCUGUACAGUUAUGGACAUGGCUUCUCAAGGUUUUGCAGCGAAACUUACCAAGUCCCAAGUCAAACAAAUAGUAACAGAUUUACCAGAAGUUGUUCAUGUCACACUUGAUAGUUUAUAUGAACUGACGACCCCACUUGGAUUUGGGCGUAGGCCUUUCUGCUGCCAAUCCGAAAAAUCUUAAUAUGGUGAAGAAGUUAUCAUUGGCAAUGUUUACACAGGGGUGUGGCCAAAAUCUGAAGUCUUUAACGACAAUGGGAUCGGAGAGCUGCCAAAACGCUGGGAAGGAGGUUGUGAAUCACGAGAGGAUUUCAACUCCUGCAACGAAAAGCUCAUAAGAGCCAAAUAUUUAAUCAAUGGGUUCCACCCAUUCCUGGAACACAGUGUUUGCACUUUGCAUAUUUUCUUAAGUUUUUUCGAGAGGUAUCUUUUCCAAGUACUAUCUCCAUCUAAACGUUUUCUUUGUUUUUCAAAGGGCACUGACCAUGUUAUAGUUAUUUUGGUCCUCAUGAUUUGUGAAAUUACCAAUUAGGUUUACCCAUUAUGAGAUGCCUUUACAUUUUUGUAAAAGAUUUUGCUGGAAAUGAAUCUUAAAGGACACGAGACCAUGUUAACAUUUAAAGGAUUCUUUUGAUCUUUAA